AACGCUAGCUACAGGCUUAACACAUGCNAGUCGCGGGGCAGCAUGUACUUGGCUUGCCAGGUAUGAUGGCGACCGGCGCACGGGUGAGUAACGCGUAUCCAACCUGCCCAUGUCCACGGGAUAGCCCGUCGAAAGGCGGAUUAAUACCGUAUGAGGUCACACGAUGGCAUCAGAAUGUGACGAAAGGUUUUGCGGACAUGGAUGGGGAUGCGUCCGAUUAGCUUGUUGGCGGGGUAACGGCCCACCAAGGCGUCGAUCGGUAGGGGUUCUGAGAGGAAGGUCCCCCACAUUGGAACUGAGACACGGUCCAAACUCCUACGGGAGGCAGCAGUGAGGAAUAUUGGUCAAUGGCCGGGAGGCUGAACCAGCCAAGUAGCGUGCAGGAUGACGGCCCUAUGGGUUGUAAACUGCUUUUAUGCGGGGAUAAAUGCCGGGACGUGUCCCGGUUUGCAGGUACCGCAUGAAUAAGGACCGGCUAAUUCCGUGCCAGCAGCCGCGGUAAUACGGAAGGUCCGGGCGUUAUCCGGAUUUAUUGGGUUUAAAGGGAGCGUAGGCCGGACUUUAAGCGUGUUGUGAAAAACCGUCGCUCAACGACGGUCGUGCAGCGCGAACUGGAGUCCUUGAGUGCGCUGAAAGUGGGCGGAAUUCGUGGUGUAGCGGUGAAAUGCUUAGAUAUCACGAAGAACUCCGAUUG
rnacentral:rRNA from 1 species